rnacentral:rRNA from 1 species
UUUUGUGACGAGUACCUAGAUAAGAAGCACCGGCUAACUACGUGCCAGCAGCCGCGGUAAUACGUAGGGUGCGAGCGUUGUCCGGAAUUACUGGGCGUAAAGGGCUCGUAGGUGGUUUGUCGCGUCGUCUGUGAAAUUCUGGGGCUUAACUCCGGGCGUGCAGGCGAUACGGGCAUAACUUGAGUGCUGUAGGGGUAACUGGAAUUCCUGGUGUAGCGGUGAAAUGCGCAGAUAUCAGGAGGAACACCGAUGGCGAAGGCAGGUUACUGGGCAGUUACUGACGCUGAGGAGCGAAAGCAUGGGUAGCGAACAGGAUUAGAUACCCUGGUAGUCCAUGCUGUAAACGGUGGGCGCUAGGUGUGAGGGUUUUUCUACGAUUCUCGUGCCGUAGCUAACGCAUUAAGCGCCCCGCCUGGGGAGUACGGCCGCAAGGCUAAAACUCAAAGGAAUUGACGGGGGCCCGCACAAGCGGCGGAGCAUGUGGAUUAAUUCGAUGCAACGCGAAGAACCUUACCUGGGCUUGACAUACAUCAGAUCGCUGCAGAGAUGUAGUUUCCCUUUUGUGGUUGGUGUACAGGUGGUGCAUGGUUGUCGUCAGCUCGUGUCGUGAGAUGUUGGGUUAAGUCCCGCAACGAGCGCAACCCUUGUCUUAUGUUGCCAGCAUUUGGUUGGGGACUCAUGAGAGACUGCCGGGGUUAACUCGGAGGAAGGUGGGGAUGACGUCAAAUCAUCAUGCCCCUUAUGUCCAGGGCUUCACACAUGCUACAAUGGUCGGUACAACGCGUUGCGACACUGUGAGGUGGAGCGAAUCG